AGUGGGCUCAAGAGCGGGGUUUCAGCAAUGCUACUUUCAAUUAUGUGAAGGAUUAAACCCUGUCCAGUAGAUGCAAAUUUAUAUGGAAGAAAGAUGAGGCAAUUGGAUGGAAAUAACUCCAAAUUUACUGACCCAUCUAUAUCACAUGGAGUGACUGGGGUCUCAUAUAUCUUGAGGAAAAUGUGAAGUUCCAAGAAGCCAUUACUCUAGCUGAAGGUCGGAACAAAAGUUGUUGAAUCCAUGGAGGGAAUUGUGGGGAUCAGUAAACAGGUUUUGAUGGAGAGAGACAUUAUCAAGAAUGCAAAAGUAGUUUCCAACACAUAGGGCAGUUCACGAUGAAGUUGUUCUAGCCUGCACCACCAAUGCCCAGGUGCACUUGGUCUAGAUAACAUUGUUAAUUAUAAAAGAGCCGGACAUUGUGCACUAUAUAUUUAGUAGUUCGUAACUUGUAGGUUCUUGGUUCCAUGUGGUCCACCCCAAUGUAUAGCCCAUAACUACAUUAAGGUCUCAUGUUAAACUGGGAUUAGAUGAAUGAAUGUGUUUGAUUUAUUAUAUCACAAGGAAA